rnacentral:rRNA from 1 species
AGAGGGGGCAAGCGUUGCUCGGAAUCACUGGGCGUAAAGGGCGCGUAGGCGGGAUGGCAAGUCGGUCGUGAAAUCCUUCGGCUCAACCGAAGAACGUCGGCCGAUACUGCCGUUCUUGAGGGAUGCAGAGGAGAUUGGAAUUCCCGGUGUAGCGGUGAAAUGUGUAGAGAUCGGGAGGAACACCGGUGGCGAAGGCGGGUCUCUGGGCAUCUCCUGACGCUGAGGCGCGAAAGCGUGGGGAGCAAACGGGAUUAGAUACCCCGGUAGUCCACGCUGUAAACGAUGACGACUAGGUGUGGGGGGGGUUAGUCCCUUCCGUGCCGCAGCUAACGCAUUAAGUCGUCCGCCUGGGGAGUACGGCCGCAAGGUUGAA